rnacentral:rRNA from 1 species
UACGUAGGGUGCAAGCGUUAAUCGGAAUUACUGGGCGUAAAGUGUGCGCAGGCGGCAGAGCAAGUCGAGUGUGAAAGCCCCGAGCUUAACUUGGGAAUUGCGCUCGAAACUACUUUGCUGGAGUGUGGCAGAGGAAGGUGGAAUUCCAGGUGUAGCGGUGAAAUGCGUAGAGAUCUGGAGGAACACCUAUGGCGAAGGCAGCUCGCUGGGACGUUACUGACGCUGAGACGCGAAAGCGUGGGGAGCAAACAGG